rnacentral:misc_RNA from 1 species
CAAACAGAAGAAGAAGACAUAAAAGAAUAACAGGGAAAAGAAGAAAGAUCUAGAGUGCUUUCAUGAUUGCAGUUGUGGGACGCCAAAAUCCUCCUUCAGUGUCUUUUCCCCUGUUAACUGUAAGGUAAGAUCCCAUGUUACUUCCUUGUCUAGUGAGACAGUCAAACAUGGAUUUAAACGACAGCUAAUGUAAUGGUUGUUAAAUAACAAAUCUGUGGGUGGCUUUACCGUUAACCCUGAUAAGUAACAGAAAAUUUUUCUAUUUUUGUUUGGGUAAUGAACGCUAACAACCAUCAUGGAUGUUAUCAUAUAAAUUGUGCAUGCAGUAGGCGGCAGCAGGCGCAGUUUUGUUCUCUA